UACGUAGGGUGCGAGCGUUUGUCCGGAAUUAUUGGGCGUAAAGGGCUCGUAGGCGGUUUGUCACGUCGGGAGUGAAAACUCGGGGCUUAACCCCGAGCCUGCUUCCGAUACGGGCUGACUAGAGGUAUGCAGGGGAGAACGGAAUUCCUGGUGUAGCGGUGAAAUGCGCAGAUAUCAGGAGGAACACCGGUGGCGAAGGCGGUUCUCUGGGCAUUACCUGACGCUGAGGAGCGAAAGUGUGGGGAGCGAACAGG
rnacentral:rRNA from 1 species